rnacentral:lncRNA from 1 species
AGUUCCUGAACCUUUUACUGUGUUUGGGAAUCCUAGUAAUCUACUUGUAUGGUUCACAGGGAAGUUUUCAUGGAUUUUGACCCAGUAUUGGUCUCAAAAUUAAGUGAGAAGAAGAUUAUUGCACCUGGAAGUCCUAGCAGCUCCUUGUUAUCUGAACAGAAACUGCGUGGUGUUAUUGAAAAUGCACGCCAAAUACUCAAGGUUAGCACUUCGCACUCUUGAACUUUUUGUUGGCGUGAUAGAGUCUAGAUACUGUUUUAUUUAAAAAUGAUGAUGUGGCUUGUAGGAUAGCUUGAAAUACAACCGCACAUGUAUUUACCUUGCCCUUGUUAAACAAGUAGGAGUAUGCCUUUAGCUGAAGCCUUUCGUAGAUAGUACUUGUUCUUGUCUGAAUUAAGUGCAUGUCAUUGCAGAUCAUAGAGGAAUUUGGAUCAUUUGAUAAAUACUGUUGGAGCUUUGUGAACCACAAACCUAUAUUGAGCCGAUUCAGGUACUCCCGUCAAGUGCCUGUCAAAACAUCGAAAGCAGAUGCCAUAAGCAAAGACUUGGUUCGAAGGGGUUUCCGCAGCGUCGGCCCAACAGUCGUUUAUACCUUCAUGCAAGUCUCUGGCAUGACUAACGACCACCUUAUCUCCUGCUACCGUUUUGCCGAAUGCGCGGCCUCCUCUGACGGUACCGGUAAACUUACCGAUGGAAACCUAGCAAACUCGAGUGAUAGCAACCAUGCCACGGC